AUUGAACGCUGGCGGCAUGCCUUACACAUGCAAGUCGAACGGCAGCACGGGUGCUUGCACCUGGUGGCGAGUGGCGAACGGGUGAGUAAUACAUCGGAACAUGUCCAGUAGUGGGGGAUAGCCCGGCGAAAGCCGGAUUAAUACCGCAUACGAUCUUUGGAUGAAAGCGGGGGAUCGCAAGACCUCGCGCUAUUGGGGUGGCCGAUGGCGGAUUAGCUAGUUGGCUGGGUAAAGGCUCACCAAGGCGACGAUCCGUAGCUGGUCUGAGAGGACGACCAGCCACACUGGGACUGAGACACGGCCCAGACUCCUACGGGAGGCAGCAGUGGGGAAUUUUGGACAAUGGGCGAAAGCCUGAUCCAGCAAUGCCGCGUGUGUGAAGAAGGCCUUCGGGUUGUAAAGCACUUUUGUCCGGAAAGAAAUCCUUUUCGAUAAUACCGGAA
rnacentral:rRNA from 2 species